GACGUCUCGAGAUAAAGUCGAUAUCUCCGAAGUUCUAUGACACUACUGAUAAGAGAAUCGCAUAUAAAACACUUCAGAGCCGUGUUUCGACCCCUAAAGUGCAGAGAAAGAGAAAGGAGUCAGGAUAACUUUCGGGCGAAAUGUACCAGGGCGCGGAUGUCACCGGUCGCGCGGCGAGUAAGAGAACGAUUAUCGCGCUCAGGAGAGCCGCCAGGUGCAUUGUUCGUUCACGGCCACGGAUUUGGAAAACGACAGGCGGAACACGUGCGUAUGUUACACUUCGGAGUCGAACGCCUCGUGGCACUACAAACGACGACCUGUUCGUUCUGCGAGUACGUUGUCUCCCGACUCAACGAAUAAGAUGUAUGACGAAACGCGACAAACGCUCAUCCACGAAGAUUAGAGAAAGAAUCAAGUCGUGCGUGGUGGGGGUGAUCCAAAAACUAUCUGUGCAAUUCCUCCGCAACUGAUACUACUAUUUACGAGAGUUAAUACACUACUGUCAUUGCAUUUUGUUUUGUACAUAUAUACCAGUCGGAGUAAUCAGCUGAUUUCAAUGUCGCGCACAUGCGCCGGUGGAGAGGGAGAGGCUCGCGAUCGGCAACGGCCAAUCGGAGCACGGACGAACACAACAUGUCUCACAUAAAGCGUAUAACACGCUUUCGUAAGUGGACGCAACAAAAUAUUAUUGCGUCCUCCUGCAUUUGCAUAUUUGCAAUAUUGAAUAAUAUAUUUCUGAAACUAAUUUAAGUUGAAGUUAAUGGCUAAUAAAAUUAAUUUAGUUACGUUAAAAGUCACAUGAACGAGAAACUCAGGUGCAUUAAGAUUAAGUUAAAAAUUAGCUUUAACUCUUUAUCUUUUUUUAAUUCUUAGAUUUUUCUUUUUUAGAGAAAAUUUACAUUCGCUUCGUUUGGACGAAAUAAAAAUGAAAAAAACGCAUAAAGACAUAAAUGAAAUAAACAGAUUAAUAAUAGAUCAUAUUUCUAUAGCCGAUUUCACUUGUAUCAAUUGGUUAGGAUUGCGUCGAAAAUAAAUAAGUUCGAGCAUAAGCAUAAAAA